GGGCCCGCACAAGCGGUGGAGCAUGUGGUUUAAUUCGAUGAUACGCGAGGAACCUUACCAGGGCUUAAAUGUAGAUUGAAUGGCGUGGAAACAUGCCAGUCUUCGGACAAUCUACAAGGUGCUGCAUGGUUGUCGUCAGCUCGUGCCGUGAGGUGUCAGGUUAAGUCCUAUAACGAGCGCAACCCCUGUCGUUAGUUGCCAGCAAGUUAAGUUGGGCACUCUAGCGAGACUGCCGGUGCAAACCGCGAGGAAGGUGGGGAUGACGUCAAAUCAUCACGGCCCUUACGUCCUGGGCUACACACGUGCUACAAUGGCCGGUACAGAGAGCAGCCACUACGCGAGUAGGAGCGAAUCCCAAAAAGUGCGUCGUAGUCCGGAUCGGAGUCUGCAACUCGACUCCGUGAAGUCGGAAUCGCUAGUAAUCG
rnacentral:rRNA from 1 species